rnacentral:lncRNA from 1 species
AAAAAAAGUUGCGCAGCUUUGCCAAAAGAGAACCCCCUUACACCCACAUCAUUCUUCUUCAACAGAAGAACUCCUCUUUAGCUGUGGUUCAUGAAAAAUAAAAAGAACAACCCAUUGCGCAAGAAGGAGAAGGGCCAUCUCUUCCGUCCCUGAACCAACAGUAAAACACCUCUAAAAAUCAACUAAACCCAGCUGAAAACUCACUCCAAAAUACCCCCCAAAAUCCAGCUUCUUCUCUACCAAAAGGAGUUCAAAGAAGUCGAG